CCUACGGGUGGCUGCAGUGAGGAAUAUUGGUCAAUGGCCGCGAGCCUGAACCAGCCAAGCCGCGUGAGGGAGGAAGGCGCAGAGGGUCGUAAACCUCUUUUGUCAGGGAACAAAGGGAGGCACGUGUCCCGUUCUGAGUGUACCUGAAGAAAAAGCAUCGGCUAACUCCGUGCCAGCAGCCGCGGUAAUACGGAGGAUCCGAGCGUUAUCCGGAUUUAUUGGGUUUAAAGGGAGCGUAGACGGGUUAUUAAGUCAGCGGGAAAAUCGGGGGGCUCAACCUCACCGGGCCGUUGAAACUGGGGGCCUUGAGUGCGGCUGAGGUAUGCGGAAUGCGUGGUGUAGCGGUGAAAUGCAUAGAUAUCACGCAGAACUCCGAUUGCGAAGGCAGCGUGCCGUGCCGCCACUGACGUUGAUGCACGAAAGCGUGGGUAUCGAACAGGAUUAGAUACCCGUGUAGUC
rnacentral:rRNA from 1 species